rnacentral:rRNA from 1 species
AUACGGAGGAUGCGAGCGUUAUCCGGAUUUAUUGGGUUUAAAGGGAGCGCAGACGGGUCGUUAAGUCAGCUGUGAAAGUUUGGGGCUCAACCUUAAAAUUGCAGUUGAUACUGGCGUCCUUGAGUGCGGUUGAGGUGUGCGGAAUUCGUGGUGUAGCGGUGAAAUGCUUAGAUAUCACGAAGAACUCCGAUUGCGAAGGCAGCACACUAAGCCGUAACUGACGUUCAUGCUCGAAAGUGUGGGUAUCAAACAGGAUUAGAUACCCUGGUAGUCCACACGGUAAACGAUGGAUACUCGCUGUUGGCGAUAUACAGUCAGCGGCUUAGCGAAAGCGUUAAGUAUCCCACCUGGGGAGUACGCCGGCAACGGUGAAACUCAAAGGAAUUGACGGGGGCCCGCACAAGCGGAGGAACAUGUGGUUUAAUUCGAUGAUACGCGAGGAACCUUACCCGGGCUUAAAUUGCAAAGGAAUAAUCUGGAAACAGGUUAGUCUUCGGACCUUUGUGAAGGUGCUGCAUGGUUGUCGUCAGCUCGUGCCGUGAGGUGUCGGCUUAAGUGCCAUAACGAGCGCAACCCUCGCCGCCAGUUACUAACAGGUAAUGCUGAGGACUCUGGCGGGACUGCCAUCGUAAGAUGUGAGGAAGGUGGGGAUGACGUCAAAUCAGCACGGCCCUUACGUCCGGGGCUACACACGUGUUACAAUGGGCGGUACAGAAGGCAGCUACCUGGCGACAGGAUGCCAAUCCCUAAAGCCGCUCUCAGUUCGGACUGGAGUCUGCAACCCGACUCCACGAAGCUGGAUUCGCUAGUAAUCGCGCAUCAGCCACGGCGCGGUGAAUACGUUCCCGGGCCUUGUACACACCGCCCGUCAAGCCAUGAAAGCCGGGGGUACCUGAAGUGCGUAACCGCAAGGAGCGCCCUAGGGUAAAACCGGUAAUUGGGGCU